CAGUCGCCACGGUAAUACGUAGGGUGCGAGCGUUAAUCGGAAUUACUGGGCGUAAAGCGUGCGCAGGCGGUUAUUCAAGUUAGAUGUGAAAGCCCUGGGCUCAACCUGGGAACUGCAUCUUAUACUGCGUAGCUGGAGUGCAGUAGAGGGUAGUGGAAUUCCCAGUGUAGAGGUGAAAUUCGUAGAGAUGUGGAGGAACACCAGUGGCGAAGGCGACUCUCGGGUCUGUAACUGACGCUGAGGAGCGAAAGCGUGGGGAGCGAACAGGAUUAGAUACCCGGGUAGUCCCUGUCUCUUAUAC
rnacentral:rRNA from 1 species